GUAGGUGGCAAGCGUUGUCCGGAAUUAUUGGGCGUAAAGCGCGCGCAGGCGGUUCUUUAAGUCUGAUGUGAAAGCCCACGGCUCAACCGUGGAGGGUCAUUGGAAACUGGAGAACUUGAGUACAGAAGAGGAAAGCGGAAUUCCACGUGUAGCGGUGAAAUGCGUAGAGAUGUGGAGGAACACCAGUGGCGAAGGCGGCUUUCUGGUCUGUAACUGACGCUGAGGCGCGAAAGCGUGGGGAGCAAACAGGGAUUAGAUACCCUGGUAGUCCACGCCGUAAACGAUGAGUGCUAAGUGUUAGGGGGGUUUCCGCCCCCGUUAGUGCUGCAGCUAACGCAUUAAGCACUCCGCCUGGGGUAGUACGGCCGCAAGGCUG
rnacentral:rRNA from 1 species